GAUGAACGCUGGCGGCGUGCCUAAUACAUGCAAGUCGAGCGCGAGAGUGAGGAGCUUGCUCCUCAUAAUCGAGCGGCGGACGGGUGAGUAACACGUAGGCAACCUACCCUUGAGAUUGGGAUAACUACCGGAAACGGUAGCUAAUACCGGAUACGACUUUUCCACACAAGUGGAAUGGUUAAAAGGCGGAUUUAUCUGCCGCUCAUGGAUGGGCCUGCGGUGCAUUAGCUAGUUGGUGAGGUAGUGGCUCACCAAGGCGACGAUGCAUAGCCGACCUGAGAGGGUGAUCGGCCACACUGGGACUGAGACACGGCCCAGACUCCUACGGGAGGCAGCAGUAGGGAAUCUUCCGCAAUGGACGCAAGUCUGACGGAGCAACGCCGCGUGAGUGAUGAAGGGUUUCGGCUCGUAAAACUCUGUUGUUAAGGAAGAACACUUGAGGUAGUAACUGGCCUUGAGAUGACGGUACUUAACCAGAAAGCCACGGCUAACUACGUGCCAGCCGCCGCCGUAA
rnacentral:rRNA from 1 species